GAGGUGUUUCUUUGUAUUCCGAACUCGAUCUGUGGAUGCAGUUGAGUAGACGAAAGCAGACUCCUGCCCAAAUUCCUCUUAUUCCCGACGAAACCUGUGAUUCUGUCUGUGUACGUAUAAGGCAUGCAUAGCUUCUGCAGAUGUGCCGUCAAUAGAAGAGAUCAUGGGAGAAACAGCAUUUUGUUGUGAUCAUGUAUAUAAAUUUCUAUAAUGAUCUAAAGCACCAUUGAUGAGGCCAAGUUAAAGUUACCUGAUGCUUGGAAGACUGAAGACGUGGUCACAAAACAGAGGACUUGCAGGGUGUUGCUCUCCCAGUGCCAGAUUACUCCUCAGCUUUAGGGUAGCCGCUGAGAAGCCACUCUUGAGUUCUAAAUGUUUAUGGUGUCGUGGAUCGGGUAGUUUAGCGUAACCGUAUGACAUUGUAAUGUUGAUUCAUCAUUUUGUGCAUGAGAGAACAUAUACAAGUUUAUGAUGUCAUCUCAAAGAAAUUUUAAGAAGGCA
rnacentral:lncRNA from 1 species